AGUGAACGCUGGCGGUAGGCCUAACACAUGCAGGUCGAACGGCAGCACAGUAAGAGCUUGCUCUUACGGGUGGCGAGUGGCGGACGGGUGAGGAAUACAUCGGAAUCUACUUUUUCGUGGGGGAUAACGUAGGGAAACUUACGCUAAUACCGCAUACGACCUACGGGUUAAAGCAGGGGAUCUUCGGACCUUGCGCGAUUGAAUUAGCCGAUGUCGGAUUAGCUAGUUGGCGGGGUAAAGGCCCACCAAGGCGACGAUCCGUAGCUGGUCUGAGAGGAUGAUCAGCCACACUGGAACUGAGACACGGUCCAGACUCCUACGGGAGGCAGCAGUGGGGAAUAUUGGACAAUGGGCGCAAGCCUGAUCCAGCCAUACCGCGUGGGUGAAGAAGGCCUUCGGGUUGUAAAGCCCUUUUGUUGGGAAAGAAAAGCAGCAGGUUAAUACCCCGCUGUUCUGACGGUACCCAAAGAAUAAGCACCGGCUAACUUCGUG
rnacentral:rRNA from 1 species